rnacentral:miRNA from 1 species
CACUUAUCUUAUGUAAUGAGG